GGAUGUGAGGGCUAUCUGGCUGCGACAUCUGUCACCCCAUUGAUCGCCAGUGUUGAUUUGGCUGAUCUGGCUGGCUAGGUGAGUGUCCCCUUCCUCCUUCACUGCUUCAUGUGUGUCCCCCCCCGAAGCUGCACGCUUGGUCGAAGAGGACGAGCUUCCCGGAACAGAGGAGGAUUGGGCUUCGGCCAGGUGGAUACAAGUAGCUGUGCUCCCCUGCUAGGACCCCCCAAAAUAUUUAUAUGUAUGUUUGCCUGCAUGAGUUAUGUGCACCAUGUGCGUGCA
rnacentral:sRNA from 1 species